UCGGCGUGGCGGGCGGCCUGCGCGGCGCGGUCGGCGUCGGCGGCCCGGUCGAGGGCCUCGGCCAUCUGGCGUUCGGCCUCGCCGACGCGGGUC
rnacentral:tRNA from 1 species